GGGACCCCAUGAUAUUCAGCACUGUGCUCUAACUGCCCCUGAAGAUACAGUGCCAUCCAGGACCUUAGACACCUAGGGAUCUGAGGGCCCC
rfam:Ictidomys tridecemlineatus contig115459, whole genome shotgun sequence.